GUGGGGAAUUUUGGACAAUGGGCGCAAGCCUGAUCCAGCAAUGCCGCGUGCAGGAAGAAGGCCUUCGGGUUGUAAACUGCUUUUGUACGGAACGAAACGGUCCGGGUUAAUACCCUGGGCUAAUGACGGUACCGUAAGAAUAAGCACCGGCUAACUACGUGCCAGCAGCCGCGGUAAUACGUAGGGUGCAAGCGUUAAUCGGAAUUACUGGGCGUAAAGCGUGCGCAGGCGGUUUUGUAAGACAGGCGUGAAAUCCCCGGGCUCAACCUGGGACUUGGGCUUGUGACUGCAAGGCUGGAGUGCGGCAGAGGGGGAUGGAAUUCCGCGUGUAGCAGUGAAAUGCGUAGAUAUGCGGAGGAACACCGAUGGCGAAGGCAAUCCCCUGGGCCUGCACUGACGCUCAUGCACGAAAGCGUGGGGAGCAAACAGGAUUAGAAACCCCGGUAGUCC
rnacentral:rRNA from 1 species